rnacentral:rRNA from 1 species
UACGUAGGGGGCAAGCGUUGUCCGGAUUUACUGGGCGUAAAGAGCGUGUAGGCGGCCAAGCAGGUCCGUUGUGAAAACUGGAGGCUCAACCUCCAGCUGUCGACGGAAACCGUGUGGCUAGAGUCCGGAAGAGGAGAGUGGAAUUCCUGGUGUAGCGGUGAAAUGCGCAGAUAUCAGGAAGAACACCAAUGGCGAAGGCAGCUCUCUGGGACGGUACUGACGCUGAGACGCGAAAGCGUGGGGAGCGAACAGG